rnacentral:misc_RNA from 1 species
GACAAAGUGACAAAUGUGGAAACUAGCGUAGAAAACCAGAAGGUCACUGUGACAUCGUCCAUGACCUCAGAUGAGUUGUUGGCAGAGCUCCAAAAAACUGGAAAGGAGGUCAAAUUUAUAGGAGCAGUUUAGUUUUCAUUCUCAAUAAAAGGUUGGCUUACUUGGGUACCUUGGAGGAAAAUUCACAGUAAUACCAUUCCAUUACUGCAUCUCAUUGCAUUUUGAUAUUAUGCCAGAUUAAUAUUAAUACAUAAAUCCACAACUCGAACAAAUGGAAGAAACUUGAAGUUGAAUUUUUGUUUUGAAGAGACAGUAGAAAUUUUAGGCCAAAUGAUUUAGAAACAAUGAUAAUUAAUGUAUAUUACUUUUGAUUUUUGAAAUUUAUUUGUAACACCAUUUACCUAAUUGGAAGCAGAUUUUAAUCUUACAUUUGAUAUACAUGAAAUAUGUUGUUUGGUGCUUUUUAUCAUUUUAAUAAACACAUACAUUAAUUGUU